rnacentral:miRNA from 1 species
UUGGAUUGAAGGGAGCUCCA